AGCGAACGCUGGUGGCAGGCCUAACACAUGCAAGUCGAACGGACCCUUCGGGGUUAGUGGCGGACGGGUGAGUAACACGUGGGAAUGUGCCCUUUGGUUCGGAACAACUCAGGGAAACUUGAGCUAAUACCGAAUGUGCCCUUUGGGGGAAAGAUUUAUCGCCAUUGGAGCGGCCCGCGUCUGAUUAGCUAGUUGGUGGGGUAAUGGCCUACCAAGGCUACGAUCAGUAGCUGGUCUGAGAGGAUGAUCAGCCACAUUGGGACUGAGACACGGCCCAAACUCCUACGGGAGGCAGCAGUGGGGAAUCUUGCGCAAUGGGCGAAAGCCUGACGCAGCCAUGCCGCGUGAAUGAUGAAGGUCUUAGGAUUGUAAAAUUCUUUCACCGGGGACGAUAAUGACGGUACCCGGAGAAGAAGCCCCGGCUAACUUCGUGCCAGCAGCCGCCGUAAAAC
rnacentral:rRNA from 1 species